CCCGACUAAUGCUCAGGUGACUGUAAGGAGUAUUGAUUCACUACAAGAUGGACAGUGAGAGUUUGUGACUGGAUGCAGCAGGAUUGCCAGUGGUUCACUAGGGCAAUGGGAGCCCAUUCCUGUUUUUUUUUCCUCAGUUUUGACUCUCCUGGUUGAGGGAAGCUAACGGUGAAUUAGGGAAAACACAGAGAAGAUCUCUGUCAGGCUGUAACCAGGGUCUUGAGCUGCUCUGUUCUGCUGCCUCCGCAGCAGUCCCUGGCAUAACCCUGCGGGGACUGGGACAGCGGCUCCUCCGGGCAGCGCGUAUUUGCGGAUCUGGCAGGAGCGGAGGGGGUGAGUGGGGAUCAGCGCCCGACACCGCGCGCGUGUGUGUGUGUGUGUCUGUGUGUGUGUGUGUGUCUGUGUGUGUGUGUGUCUGUGUGCGCCUGUUCGUGUGUCUCUGUAUGUCUGUGUCUGUGUGUCUUAUGCGUGUGUGGGUGUGGGCUGUGGUGUGUUUGAGGAAGGGAGGGAAGUGGAGAGCACCCGCUCCAUGCAGGGGCGGGAGAAGGGGGAACGGAGCGGAUCUCCUCCAUACAGUGCGAGUCAGACGAUUUGCUCGACACGCAGAGGAGGGGAGGGCUUUGCUCCUGGUGGGAGGGAGGUGACUUUGCCAUAAGCGCGGCUCGGCCCGGCCGAGCCCCCCACGAGCCGCCCCGGGGGCUGACGGGACGCGGCGGGAGCCCCGCCAGGACCAACCGCUCUGCCCGAGCGCGGCGACGGGGGCGCUGCGGCACCGCCGGUCCGAGGCCGUGAGGGACGAGUGUGCGGAGUGAAGGGUGUGUGCGGAGCGUGGGGUGAGGGUUGUGCGGCGUAAGGGGUGUGCUGGGUGCGUGCGGGAUGAGGGGGGUGUGGGCCCGCCCGGGUCGCACCCGGCGGCUCCGCCCGAAGCGGGGUCAGACUCGAGCCUCCGCCCGCCCCCGGAGCCGCCGGGAGGCCCCGGCGCUGCCGCCCCAUCGGCGGAGCCGCCCCGGGAGCAGAGCGAGGGAGGGAGGGAGGGGGACGGUCUGGCCGCGGUGCCCAGCACAGGCCUUUGCUGAGCUGCUCCUCCUUGUCCGGGAGAGGACACAGUGUUCGAAGCACACCGACAGCUCCAGGGGCUCAUUGUGAAGUGUCCUGAAACGCUCCUGAACUGUGACAGGUGAUCCCACAGACUGCUCCUUCCUGCUGCUGCCCAGCGUGCCAAGGCACAGCCAGUGCUGGCUCCAGGGCCGUGGUCAUGCCGGGCUGUGCCGGGUGGCUGUGCUCAGCUGCGUGGCCCAAGUGACAGCUAGUGGCUCUGGCUGCUCUCGGUCCCAUUUCUGUCUCCGGGCACCAGUACCGUCACCCCACACCCACUGGUCACCCCAGCCAAGGCUCCUGUCUUCUCCCAUUCACAUUCAGCACUCAGUGGCCCUUCCUUCUGUGUCAUUCUUUUCUCCUAGUGUAUUGAUCUGCAUCAGUUUUUCCCCUACACUGUGUUUCAUUUGAGUUUCUGUCAUCCUCCUGUGUUUUAUACCCUGUCAUCACUGCUGGCUGUAGUCCACGUGCAUCCUGAGUGGCCAUUCGUCCUGUUCGCAUUUAGAGUCCUUUGUGCUGGUCGAGGCUCUCCAGUGUGUUGUUUGCUGCGCCCCAUCAGACAGUGGUCUGCCAUCUCUGCCUGUCAAGCUAACAAAAAUCAUCCCAUUGUUUCAUUUCCCAGCUGUGUGGCUACCUGCCAUCACUGGCUCUGGCUUACAUGUUCUCCAGCAUGGCAUUGUGUGCUGUCAGAGAUGGAUGUGGACAGCCAGAUCACAAACACAGCAGUCUGUGAUUUGAACAGUCGUUUUGUCCAGCCCCCCAAACUCCAUGUCCUGCCCACACUCUCACAUGACACGAUGCAGUUUUCAUUGCGCAGCUGUGCACAUUGGGACCACGUCUGCCCCAGCCAACAAACAGUGCUGUGAUAAGCAAAAUGCUAGCUGACAAAUCAGUAGAUUAGCAGGGUUUAUCCUUUUGUUAAGUACAGACCUGUUCUCAAUAAUCUUAUUUGUACAUAAAGCAAGAAAAAAAUGGAAAGAAUGAGAAACAGCUCUUGCAUGGGAGUUUUGUUCUGUGGGAGUGUUCUUGGGGCUAUUUUUUGAUCCAUUAUGAUGAUGGCUGAAAACAUAUUUAUAAAGCUGAAAGAAAAGCCUUUGUCUGAAAAUUUCUUUGCACUCCCAGAAGCUUCUAGAUGUGCUUUGUAGUUGUCAUGAGAUCUACAGAGCCCUCUGAGUCCUUUGCUUGUCCCAGUAUAUCAGGAAGGGAGAGGCAGUGGGGUGCCCAGAUGCAUGAGCAUGGCCCAGGAGCCAGCACUGGCUGUACCUUGGCACACUGGGCAGCAGCAGGAAGGAGCAGUCUGUGGGAUCACUUGUCUCACUGUAGGAGUGUUUCAGUAUAGAAGCCUGUUAGCUUCAUUGGCUUCCUUUUGUGACCACAGACCAUGCCACCUCCAAAAUGACAGCACACACUCGUGUCAUCUGUUCUUCAGAAACUGCUCCCUGUUCAGCCAUGUAUCUCCACACAGAGAGAAUGAGAAGGCAGGAGAGAGGUGUGGAGCCUCCAGAGCCUGGCAAGGGCCUGAACAGAGGAUAUGCAGGUGUGUUUUAACAUUCUGAAGAGAAGCAGGCAAUUCUGGAAAAUAGAAGGGGACAAAAAAAGAGUCUGCCUCAAAAAAAAUAUGGAAAGCUGGAAGGAAAUUGAAAUAGGAUAACUGGUGGGUUUUCAAAAUAAACUUUAUUUAUUUCUUUAAGAACAAGAAAUGUACCAUUUUUCAUUUAGUUGAACCAGAGGUAACAUGAGAUAUAAAUUAUCUCUUCUUGUAGGAAUUAAAAACCUCUUUAUUUUAGAACAGUAACAAAUUAGUUGAUUACAAGAGCUGGAGCUGUGUCCUACCUCAGUGUAUACAAAGGAUAAUUCUUGCUAGUAUGCCUAUCUGCAAAGUCAAAAGAAGGAUUAAAAUGCUGAUUUAAAACCACACAGAGCUCAUCCCCUCUAGGAAUGGUGCCUGCUCCUCCUUUGAGGUCCUAGGGGAACAGAUAGAAGUGGGAUUCAUUCCAGUGGCCUACCAGCUUCUCUUUCAAGCCUGCAGGACCUUUUGCUAGGAAAAGGGUAAUUUGUGCUGAGUUACAGCCCCUUUGCUUAUGUCUGUGACUGACAUCAGAACUUCCUGCAGAAAAUUAAGAUUUCUCAGGUAUGAAACAGGGCUACCAUGUACCACCCUUGCUCCAUAUUUGUAUUAGUAUCACAUUCAGCAUGAGAGGAAUGAGGGUUUAACUCUUUAAUGACAUGAUAAAUUUGGUCUAAUUCACCUCAUAUAUUUGUUUCUAUUCUCUGAAAAAUAAAAUCGCUUUAUUUUUUCAACCUGGAACAAAACAACUCCAUGCGUCAGUUCAAACUGGGGAUUGAUUGUAGGGUGCAGCCCUGCAGGAAAGGCCUUGGGAUUCUUGUGGAAAACAAGUUGGACCUGUGUCAGCAGUGCUUCCCUGCAGCAACAACAGUCAUGGGAUUGCAUUAACAAGUGGUCAGCAAAUGGAGGAUGUGGUUAUUCCCCUCUGCCUGGUACUGGUGAGGCUGCAUCUGCAGUAUUCUGUGCAGUUUUUAGAAAACUCCCCCAUUAUAUGGGAUAUGUUGACACACUGGAGAGGCUCCAACAACAGCCCCAGUAUUGGUGAGCAGGAGCAUGUGCCAUGUGAGGAGAUGUGAUGGGGGUUAGGUUUGUUUGGCCUGCAGAAGGGAGGGCUGGGGGAUCUCAUUGCAGAGACACUACUGAAAAGGGAGGUGAGAAUUCCGAUGCAUCCAAGCUUCUCCUGCAGGUGAAAGAAUGAGAGGCAAUGGUCUCAUGCUGCAAACCAGGGAAAUUCUUUUUCAACAAAAGGAGCACAUUAUUUACCAGGAGAGUGCUGCAGCCUUGGGAGAGGCUGCCCAGAGAAGUUGUAAAAUCUCCAUCGUUGGGAUUUCCAGGAUACAUGUGGACAAAGCCCUGAGCGACUUCAGCCAGCUUUGAAGUCAGCCCUGCUUGGAGUAGGAGAUGAGACCUCAAUGUACAUUUUUCACUCAUUCAGCUGGACUCACUAAUGUAGCAGGAAGCAAGUUGCAUUCUGCUGUUUAGGGACUGAUCAAUUCACUGGAAAGGCCAGAAGCACUGAUGUGGUACAAGGCACAUGAAGGUCAGGACCACGCAGGGAGCGGGGAGGGUGGUGGUCAGGGAAGGACAGCAUGGGAAUGAAGCCUCUGUCUCACACACUGUCCAAGUGUGAGAGCCACCUACUUCAAAUCACCUACUUCAGCCUGUAAGUCCUCAAAGUGGUGAUUCCAGUGUUGUCUUUUUUCCGUUACAUUUUUACAGCAUAGAUUUGUAAUCUCCAUCACUGGAGACAUUCAAAAGCUGUCUGGACAUGAUCCUGGCCAACUUGCUCUAGGAGGUCAUGCUUGUCCAGGGUAUUUGUACCAGAUCACCUGCAGUGUCAUCUCCAGCAUUCCCUUGUAACCUCAACCACUCUGUGAUUCUUAUUUUAUCUGUUAAUUUUAAUAUUCUGUCCAUCUCCAGCCACUCAGCUUCACUCACAGGAGCAUGCUUCCUUUCAUCUAUUGGUACUUCUGACCCUUGCUUAAACACCCAAAAUCCUUGAGAAAUUUCAAUAUCUGAUAAUAAAAUUUCUAAUAAAUUUUAAUCCAAUUGAAAAA